ACAUGUCCUAUUGAUAAUAAUUUUAGGUCGAUCUGCUCAAUGAAAUAUUUUUAAUAGCUGCAGUAUAUUGACUGUACAAAGGUAGCAUAAUAAAUUGUCUUUUAAUUGAAGAAUUGAAUGAACGAAUUAAUGAAAUAAUAACUGUCUCUGAAUUAUUAAAUGAAUUUAAAUUUUUAGUUAAAAUUCUAAAAUUUAAUUAUGGGACGAUAAGACCCUAUAGAAUUUUAUUUAAUAUUUUAUUUAUUAAAUAAUUAUUAAUUUGUAAAUAAGAUGUUAAAUUUGAUUGGGAGGAUUGAUAAAUUAUUAAACUUUAUUUAAUAUUUAAUUUUGAUUUAAAGAUAGAUAUUGAAUUAUAAUUUAUAAUUAAUAGAGUAAAUUACCUUAGGGAUAACAGCGUAAUAUCUUUUGAUAGACCAUAUAGAUAAAGAUGAUUGCGACCUCGAUGUUGAAUUAAGAUUAAAAUUAAACGCAGAAGUUUAAAUUUUGAGUCUGUUCGACUCUUAAAAUCUUACAUGAUUUGAGUUCAAAUCGACGUAAGU
rnacentral:rRNA from 1 species